GAGCGCAAGGCAUGUCGUAGUACUAAAGCACCCGAUCUCAUUAGAACUCGGACGUUAAGCGUGCUUGGGCGAGAGUAGUACAAGGAUGGGUGACCUCCUGGGAAGUCCUUGUGUUGCAUCUU
rnacentral:rRNA from 1 species